CGUUAAGAGAGACCUGAAGGAUUGGAGUAUCGACAAAGAGCUAGCUAUGGACAGGGGUGCGUGGAAGCUUGCUAUCCAUGUGCCAGAGCCAUGAGUUGGUUGCGAGAUCUUAUGGGUUUCACCUCUAGCCUACCCCAACUUGUUUGGGACUAAAGGCUUCGUUGUUGUUGUUAUAACAGUUCUGUUUGUGCAUUUAAGGAUGUUGCUUUGCAUACUGUGUCGUAGCUUAGAUAAGUUUUCUCUUCACCUUGUAGCUGAUCCAUUAUAUACUCAUUUAUAUCGCGAACUGUUUCGUUCCUUGGACAUAAUAUUGCUCUUUCUUCUAAGAAUUCUCGCUGACGAUACCUCUCCUGCAAAUUUGGAUAUAUGCUUUCCACAAUUGUUUUUUUGGGAUCAUUUCCUUUCUCCAGUAGUAUGUCACUUGGUAUUUUUAUCAAUUCCUCACCUUCUGAUGAUGUAUUUGUUCCAUCGCCAAUAUUCAGAAUCCACUCUGCAAAUUCUGCUACCCGUUGUUUCUCUGAUUCAUCAUGUGUUGUGCAGUUGAGUCGCAUGUUCUUUGUUAGCUUCAAUAUGUGAAAGUGCUUCCAAAGAUGUGACCUUUUAAUGGAUGCAGUGACUAUGUUGUGUCUUCUUCCCUUUGGUAUAACAGGAAGGAUCUGGCGGAAGUCCCCUCCUAGAACCACUGUCAUGCCACCGAAUGGUCUCUUGCUGCUGUUGACAUUUUUAUGCCUUAAUAUAUCCCUUAAAGUCCUGUCUAGCGCCUCAAAGCAUAUCUUGUUUGCCAUUGGAGCCUCAUCCCAUAGUAUUAGUGCCGUCUUCUUUAGUAGUUCUGCCAAGUGUGAACCUUGUUUGAUGUCACAUGUUGACUCUUCUGUAAGGAUUAGGGGGAUGUGGAACCUCGAGUGUGCUGUUCUACCUCCCUGUAGAAGCAGAGCUGCAAUACCACAUGACGCCACUGCUAGUACUAUCUUGCCUUCGGAACGCAACUUUGUUGUGAUUGCCUUCCACAGAUAUGUCUUACCUGUCCCACCAUACCCGUCCACAAAUAUUAGUUUUCCCAAAUGUUUGUUAACUGAUUCCAUUACUGAGUCAAAUGCAUGGCGUUGUUCUGAGUUCAGACUACCAAAGAUCCUUGAAUGCUCUUCUUUUUGCUCCUCUUUGUUGUAGUUAAUCUCUUCAUUGAGUAGUCUGUUUCCAAGUUCUUUUAUUUCUGAAGAAUCUGGAAGUUCUAUUCCGGGGUAUUCCUUAAGUGUCUUCCAGCUUGUCUCAUUAGCUUCUCUAUUUCCACCAAGGUGUGUCCUUGCUUCUGUGAAGCUGUGAGGGAAAGUGUAGGAUGCUUCAAGAGUUUUCUCUGUCUAUAUGCCGUGUCUUCGCUUAGAACUUCCCAGCAUGAUUCCCACAUAUUUUUCGGGCUUGUGACUUCACAGUGGCAUAAGAUUGUUGUGAAUAGUUGUCUUAGCUGGUUGCCAGUCGCCCAGUUUGAUGCCUCAUUUAUGCACUCAAGCCACUCUUUGUCGUCAUCGAGGAAUCCUAGUGCUUCGCAAGUAGAUCUGUAUGAUGUGUGGACAACUCCAUUUACUGUUCUGAUGUCUUCGAAACAUGUGCAUCCUUUUUUGACGUUAAGUAGCAUUCGCAUGUAGUAUUUUUCUCCACUUGCUGGAUGGGCACAAUAUAUUCUUCCAACUGAUCUUCCUUUCUUCCUUUUGCUCCACUUUGUCUCUUUCUUCUUCCAUGCCCAUUUUGACGGGAACUCUGCAUAUGUUAAUUCUCUGGCUUCUUCACACAUCUUGUUUGUCUCCAUCCACUGUGUGGAAAGGCAACCUUUCGACGCAGGGAUCUCUGAAGUUCAUUUCGAAUUGAAAUAUUCUCCAACACGCGUCAUUCCCUGAUAUAUAUGUGCACUCUAGGUUUCUCACAUUCCUUGCUAUGUGGCCCACCUUUUCUUUUCAUCGUUUCUUCCUGCACAAUAGAGAGUGCAAAUAUGAUGUUAAAGAGGAUGAUAUUAUAAUAUCAUUACGGACAGUGUCCGACCUAGAAACUGUGGUUUGCUGGGGCGACGGACAGGGGAUUACUCUGCUCCGCCACUUCAGACCUGGGCCGUCCUGCUUCGCCACUUCAUACCUGGGCCGUCCGAGCCUACUUGCCCCAAUGAAGUAAAGGAGAUCAACUUUCAAGACCAGUGAUUGUGCUGAAAGCUUUAAUUUUGAAGAGGAUGUUAAGUUCCAAUCAUCGGGUGAAGACACAAAUAUUGUAUAUAUUCUUGUUGGACUGGGAAUGCCAAUUCUAGGAAUUGUAACGUUUGUGAUAGGAGGCUCAUUUUUCUCUCAAUAUUUUCCUGUUAUCCUCAAUAUUUAAUAAGCUGCUAUUGAUCUCAGAAAGAUCUGACAGUUUUGAUUUUUUCUACCUUAGAUGACAUCUUUUACCUAUGCUAAUCCCAUGCAGAGUGUAGAAUCACAUUAACUACCCCUAUAUUCUCCAUCCAUGGAAUCAAUAUGUACGCAUUGUGUGAAAAGGUAUUCAAAUCCUUUCUUUGAUGGUGUUUAAGAGUUGGCUAACCAUAUAAUAUGAAAGAGGGCAAAAGUAUUAAAUAUAAACACUAAAAUGAUGUGCUAAGAUGGUGCCCGCACAUUUCAGAGAACUAACACAGAGCUACAAUGUUUUCAAACACUUCAUGUAUAAGUUCCUAGUUAAGUCCUACAAAACUAAUACUGAAUUACUCCCUUCGAUCUAUAUUAAUUGUCGCAGUUUUAGUACAACUUUGUACUACUAAAGUUGUACUAAAUAUGUGACAAUUAAUAUGGAUCGGGGAGUAGCUAAUUAUGUUUUAAUGACAACACUCACAUCUUCUUGCAUGUUGACAAAAAAAAUACAUUAGAUAGAGCUAACAUUGAUCUAAAACAUCUUCAACUAUAUCAUGUCAAAAUUUCAUGUCUAAGGCCCCCAUA